ensembl:lncRNA
CUCCGUGUCCCUUCCGGGGCUCCGUAGUUUUAAACAUUCGCGCUCACAGCCUCCUACCUUACAGACCAUCAUGGCGUCCUGUUCGGCUGCUCCAGGUCUCGACAACAGCGGAUCAUUUCUGUGUGAUAAUUAUGAAAACUUUGUGAGUUCAGCGGUUAAUCCUCCGUCUAAAGCAGGGACUUGUGUGUACGAUCGUCAGUUCCUGCUUGGACUACGGACUUUGAACACUUUUCAAGCCGUAAACUCGGACACUCUGGAGAGGCUCCGGAGCUCCGGACUGCUGCGGCCAGCGGCUGAGGUGGCGGCGGGGCUUCCUGCCUUCACAGACCGGCGCAGGGAGAGACGGCGGCGGGGCUGCAGGGCUGGGCUAAAGGCUAAGCUGAGAGCUAACCCGUUUCAAACGCUGCUCCCGUCUGUUAUACUGGCUAACGUACAGUCCCUGGAGAACAAACUGGACCAUCUAAAGCUCGAUGUGACCACCAGACGGGAGGUGAGAGACUGCUGUGUCCUGAUUCUGACCGAGUCGGGGCUGAACUCGGCGGUACCUGACGCCGCCAUUAGCCUCCAGGGGCUAACUACGUUCCGAGUGGAUGGGAGCCGGGGUGGAGUGCGAACACUAAGGAGGCCCUGAGUGUUCUGUACCAGACCAUCACACAGCUGCAAACCACACAUCCAGAGGGCAUCUUCAUUGUAGCUGGAGAUUUCAAUCAGGCCGACAUGAAGACUGUUCUCCCCCAUUUCCACCAACAUGUGGACUUUGCAGCUAGAGGAUGCGACACACCUUACUUUGUUUACACCAACAUCAGGAAUGGUUAUAAAGCUGCCCCCCGCCCCCACCUCGGCUUCUCUGACCAUGUGUCUGUGAUGCUAACACCAGCAUACAGACCCCCGCUGACCAGAGGAAACCCCGCUGGGAGGCAGGUGAGGGUCUGAGGGAGAUGGAAGCCCUACAGGACUGGACAUGUUCAGAGCUGCUGCAGUGGACAAUGGACACCAACGUGGAGGAGAACUCUGCAUCUGCAUCAUGAAACACAUCUCCACCAGGCCCAAAGCCAUGGAGGAAUGGGAGAAGCUGCAAAUAAUACCGACAACUAGGGAUGGGACCGAUACCAACAUAAUUCACCAAUCCAUGAAUCACGUUUGUUGAAAUGACUCCACAGUGAUUCCCUGCACCACAAAUUAACCCUCCUGUGUUAAACGUUAAGAUAAUUCGAGAAUUUACUCAACAUUUGUCCAGUUUUAAAGAGAUUUUAUUCAGGUGCAGCUGCUGAAAUGUGUUCAAAAUGUAGAAAUUAGCCCUAUUUUUGUGAGCUUCUUUUAUAGAUACUUGACAUGUCUAACAAAGUUUUUCAUUUACAGUGAAAACCAAACGUUUUUAUCUUCUAACAAACUGGCAACAAGAUGAUUAAAUGUUUUUCGGGACUUCGGGGGUUUCAUAGAUUUUCGAGCAGAACCAGAAAUCUAAGAAUCUUUGAAGGUUUCGAUGCUUUUAGAGCCCAAAGAACACUGAUGACCAAAAUGUGUACAGGACACUGAAAACAUAUCAUCACAUUAAUGUUGUACGAAAAGUCAUUAAAUAUGAAGGAAAAAAGAUGUUGAUCAUUUAUUUAGAGAUGUUAAACACUGAAUGGAGUCAAAGAUAAUUAGAGAAUUUAUUCAACAUUUGUCCAGUUUUAAAGUGAUUUUUAUUCAGGUUCUGCUGCUGAAAUAUGUUUCUAACAAACUGCGUUAGAGAAGUUUACCCUUUGUGUGUUUCUGUCUUGGAUUUAAUAAAUACUGAGUCAAUUUGAAA